CAGAAAAUAGUUUAUUAAAAAUAUUAAUUUUGGGGAUUAAAGAUAAAUGAUUAUAUUUUUUUCUGA
rnacentral:tRNA from 1 species